rnacentral:lncRNA from 1 species
GGCCUCUCUGUAGCAUUCCUUCCUCUAGGAUAUGGGGCGGAACCCAUUCUGAAAUGAGGGUCUUAGCACCCACAAUCAGACAAGAAUCUCGCCCUGUCACCCAGGCUGGAAUGCAGUGGCGCGACCACGGCUUACUGAAGCCUCAACCUCCUGGACUCAACAGAAUCUCCCACCUGGCCUCCUGAGUAGCUGGGACUACAGCACUGACCUGCUGAUCCUGCAACUUGACUCCAACGACUCUGAAGGUGUUGCUGGCAGUGUUGUG